AUAUAUAUUUAUAUACUGUAUAUGAGGCCCCUAGAACCACAAGAAAUGCAAAAAAAGUCAUUUAAUUCAUUCUCGAAUUGCCCCCUUUAAAAAUCAAAUUGCCCCGUGGGGCCUUGGCCCCACAUCGGGAACCACUGGUCUAGAUAGAGGGUAUGUGUCAGAAUGUCUGUGUCUUACUAUCAAAUGGUCCAGUGACAACAAAACAUAUGUUUUCAAAGAGAAACAGAAACAACUGGGGCAAGACGUUAGCAGUGGGCAGGCCGAGGUGGUGGGCUGUCAGCUGGUACCUGUAUGCCUAUGUUUUCACGAGAGAAGGCUCGAAGCAUCUGCUGUCCUACUGGGUGUCCCUGCCGGGAAGGUGGCGUUUUGGAGCCAGGCAAGGGGUGCUCGCCUGGACGAUUCUGUGCUGGGCAUCGGGCACUGUCUGCAAACACUCGGUUGUCACCACUCGGGGGAAGGGUGCUCCUGGCAUCGAACAGAAGGAGAUCGGGCCCACAACAGCCGCCCACGCUGAGCAGCGGGGGGCAGGCUCUGGAUCUGGACAUCAGGGGCUAGAAAUGGGAUCCGGGCACUGGCACUUACCAGCCAUGCUUCCCUCUCUGUGCCUCAGUUUCCCUGUCUAUGAAGUGGGGACCACCACACGGGCAAAGUUCAGAUCAAGUGAACGGAGGCUUGCAAAGCUCGGAGCACAGGGAAGGCAGAGGUGUGUGCUGAGCUCCCCUGGCGUCAACGCGCCGCUCAACUCUCCCAGGCUCCCUCCUCACUGUGCCCAGCCACCCGGCUGUCCCCACGCCCUCACCUCCCCUCAACAACCCUCUGCCCCGCCUGACACAAAGCAGCGCACACUUGCUGGGCCGAAGUGAACUCCGUCAGCACCGCUUCCCACAGCUUCUUCCAAAGGAAAAGAAGGGCUUAUUUUGCCAAGAAGAGAAGAGACCAUUCCCAGUACAUGAUGAGCUUGGCGAGAGGUUAUAUGUAGGAUGUAGAGUGGAAGGACCAGGGUGGAAGGGUGGCAAGGUGGGGUCUGCUGUAAGCCCCAUGGGGUUCACCAUGGCAGACCAAGAAGGAAACUUGCCAAAGCUGACCAACUGCACUCAUUCUGAGAAAUCAGCGUUCAGAGCAAAGGUCCACAGGUUGUCCUAGCAACGGGCCAACAAUCGAAGAAGCAGAGCCAGGGGCCUGGAUCAGAGGUUGUGUGUGUAGCACCCUGAGCCUUGGCACAGGAGCCCCAAGACCACGCCCAAACCCAGCAACACCCAACCGCCCAGGUGCCCCUGUGAAGGCUGGGCAUGUGGCUGCAGGUGCUCUGGGCACCUCUGACUCAGCUGGCAGAAGCCUGCAGCGGAGGAGCGCUCCCAGAGGCUCGCCUUCAAGUCCUGGCCCUGGAGAAGCCCCCGCCCACCAGGGAGGGACGCAGUGGGAGGGCUCAUCCCCAAAGAAGCCUGUGCAGCCCCACCAGGCACAGGCUGGUGUGGCCACUCAGGUUUCCGGGUCACCCCGGGAGACGGCACAGGGCAUGCAGGCGGCUCCUGGCUCUCAGCAGCCUUGUGUGGAUGGGGUGUCACGAGUGGGGAAGGGUCCCCGAGUGCCCAGCCCCAGGAUGGAGGAACAGGCUGGUCUGCAGCCUCGAACCACCACCUGGUGCCGGGGCAACUGCCCUCCUGACACCUUUCCUCUCUGAAUGGGUAACAGUCCACCUUGCAAGGCUGGAAGGGUGAGAGGUGGUGGAAAUAAAGCUCCUCACUCGGGGCCUGACACCUAACAGGAGCUCAGCAAAAGGAGAGCGUUUGCUGACGGGGCCCCGGCCCAGUCGACACCACCCUGGCCCCACACGGGCCACCCGGGGGCCUCCAGGGCAGAGGGUCCUCACAGCCAGCAGGGCACUGUCCCCGGGGCAUUCAGAGGCAAGGGUUUGGUGAGACAAUGUCAAGUCACCUCACUCACAAAUAACCUCAAACAUUAAUGUCACCCCCAAUAAAUUCAGUAAAAACUUUCUUAAAAGACUUUUUUCUGUUCUAGCAUAAAUUAUCAAUCAAUUGAUAAAACCUACAGGAUUGGCCCCGGCUGGGCAACUCGGUUGGUUAGAGUGUCGUCCGAUACACCCAAGUUGCGGUUUCGAUACCCAGUCAGGCACAUCCAAGAAUUAACCAAAAAGAAUGCUGCAAUGGAGUCACCUUCGAGCCGAGCACAGGCCCUGGCCGCCCCAGCCUCCCGACGACCGUCCACUGCUGUCACGGCUCCGGCGAGGAAGCCGAGGACCAGCGUCCACAGCCUCUGAGCCACGACAGCCGGUGCCGGCGCACGUGGACGGACCACCCGGUAGGCGCUCUGGCUGCAUCGUGUCCCCAACUCACUUCCCAGCACGUGCUCCGCUGGGAAGCAGAAGCUCCACGGGUGUUGAACUGAGGUCAACAGUGACAAGCACGGAACGAGCCGGAACCCACGUGGCCUGGCCGAGGACGCUGGCUGAGCAGCAGGUGGAAGGACGGUCUAGCAAGAGACGAGCGGCCCCAGAGCAGCCUGGCCCCAGACAGGACUCCAAGAUGAGACGACGCCACAGCACCCACAGGUGCCUGCCUGGUGGAAACUAUCCCCAUCACCCAAGAGACAUCCCCGAAGCCCAAAGAGAUCAUGUGGCUAUAAAUGUGGGGCAGAGCCUGCAGCUAAACCUGCCAGGGUCCAGUCCAGGGGAGCUUCCAGCACCUCACACGUAACCUGAGCCCACCCAGGGCCUGAGCACCAGAGGCAUCUGGACACAGGUGCAGAGAGGGCUACGGGUCCCAGGAAAUGUUCCACAUGCCAGCAUCUGCCUGCCAAGACGACCGCACACUUGGCCCUGCACCCCUCCCACUCCCCAAGCCGCCAGUGUGGACAAGAGGACAUGGGCUUCCCGUCCCCUGGCCUGUCCUGCUUCCCUUGAAUGUGCGCACAGUGUGCCUGCAGAAACCCAGGGCUCAUCAGAACUUGGCUAACAACGUACAAAGCAGCACGAAAAGAUCUCUGAGCAGCAACACUCAAAUGGAUAAUGGGUGUGUGUGCACUUGGAUGCAGGGCAACGAAGGUGUGUGGUCACGCCCUCCGCCCCAGCCGAGCUGCUUGCUUUCCUAGCACCGCGGAGAUCAGACAGCUGACGAGAAGGAAGAGGAGAAGUCACUGCACACAAGCUGCCCAGGGCAGUAAGAAGCCACGACCGAGUCUCCUGGUGAUGCUGUAACAGAAACCUGCACAGCCCUGGCUGGUGUGGCUCAGUGGAUAGAGUGUCAGCCUGCGGAAUGAGGGGUCCCCGGUUCGGUCUGGUCAAGGGCACGUGCCUGGGUUGUGGGCUCCAUCCCCUGUGGGGCGUGGAGGAGGCAGCCGAUCCAUGAGUCUCUCUCAUCAUGGAUGUUUCUCUCCCUCUCCCUUCCUCUGAAACCAACAAAAAUACAUUAGAAACAACAACGAAGAAACCUACACCGACCGGGAAGGACCCCUGACGCUUAAUAACGGGCAGCAGCCCGAGCCCUCGCCAGGAGGGGCGGCCACACAGCCACGUCCUCAGGAUACAGAGAGCAGCAUUGAACAGACCGUCAAACUGCAGAGGGAAGGCGGGGCGGGGG